rnacentral:rRNA from 1 species
UACGUAGGGUGCAAGCGUUGUCCGGAAUUAUUGGGCGUAAAGAGCUCGUAGGCGGUCUGUCGCGUCUGCUGUGAAAACUCAGGGCUUAACCCUGAGCUUGCAGUGGGUACGGGCAGACUAGAGUGCGGUAGGGGAGACUGGAAUUCCUGGUGUAGCGGUGAAAUGCGUAGAUAUCGAGAGGAACACCUGCGGCGAAGGCGGGUAGCUGGGCCGACACUGACGCUGAGGCGCGAAAGCCAGGGGAGCGAACGGG